GGGUGCAUUUAUUGGCGCAAAAUCAUUCACUGAAUGUUUGCUUAAUCUGGAUAACCUAGCAUAUCGCAUGGUCUUGAACCGGCGAAGUUUCUGUCAAGUAUCUGCCUUAUCAACUGUCGUUGGUGCUGUAUUGGAGUACCACGGUAUUAACGAGUAACGGAGAAUCAGGGUUCGACUCCGGAGAGGGAGCCUUAGAAACGGCUACCAUGUCUAAGGAUAGCAGCAGGCGCGAAAAUUACCCAAUGUCAAAACGACGAGGUAGUGACGAGAAAUAACAAGACCGUUCUCUUUGAGGUCGGUCAUUGGAAUGAGUACAAUCCAGAAACUUUAACGAGUAUCUACGAGAGGGCAAGUCUGGUGCCAGCAGCCGCGGUAAUUCCAGCUCUCGUAAGGUAUAGAAUUAUUGCUGUGGUUAAAAAGUUCGUAGUUGGAUUGUUGUGUUGGCUCGGGUCUGCCCUUUGGGUUAGUACUCGAUGCCUUCUAAUUUGUGCGUUUAGCGCGUUGGGUGCUUGCAUUCGGCGUGCGGCGUACAGGAUUACUUUGAACGGCUCAAGUGCUUAAAGCACGUCUUAUGACUGAAUACCGGUGCAUGGAAUAAUGGAACAAGGCUUCGGCCGGGUUUUGAUUGGUUUUGCCGGCUGAAACAAUGGUUAACAGGAACAGUCGGGGGCAUUCGUAUCGCUGCGCGAGAGGUGAAAUUCGUGGACCGUAGCGAGACGCCCAAAAGCGAAGGCACUUGCCAAGAGUGUUUUCAUUAAUCAAGAACGAAAGUCAGAGGUUCGAAGGCGAUUAGAUACCGCC
rnacentral:rRNA from 1 species